rnacentral:lncRNA from 1 species
AGCAUCUGAAGAUCAUAGACAUGCCAUCUACUAUCAUUGGUGGAUCUACGUUUAGCUGAAGGUUGGCAUCGCUCUCUCCCGCUUUCCCCUCAAAAUUUCUGUGCACAAAUAUAUACAUGCACUGCAAUGCAUAUUAUGGUAAUUGGUGGAUCCACGUUUAGCUGAAGGUUGGCAUCGCUCUCUCCCUCUUUUCCCUCAAAAUUUCAAAAACCUUGUAGUAAACCCAAAACACAAAAAACUAAUACACAAUUUAUCAAAUUUGCAUCUGUCCUGCCUAGAAGUGAAUCCAAGAUUUAAAAUGGUACACGUGACUUUUAAAAAUUUUAGCGACGAAUUUAUUAUACUUAUAAAACUAUGGGUUAAUAUUAGUUUACAUUUUAGUGGGUCCCACCAUCUCAAGUAAAAAUAUAAAGGGAAAUGUGGAAAAUGUUAAAAGGGGUUCCAGACAUUAAACAUCGUAAUAUAAAAGAGUUGCCCCCUAGAUAUCUAGUACCUUGGAUCUUCUUUUAUUAACUAGCUUCUUUUCACGUGCACAUGUAUCCAUAUUAAUCAGUACAAAGCUUUUCAAAAUUCGUAAACUGAAUUUAUAAUUACAUUUUUCUACAUCAAUGUUGAAGGUUAAUUUAGUUUUUAAAGGGUUAAUAUUGAAGGACAAAUGUAAAAACACUGUAGCAAUGAUAAGUUAAUUUAAUGGCAGAUGCAAGAGAACUCGUCAUACACUCUAAACUUGAUCUCAAAAGAUAUCUGAUACUUGAUUAAAAAAUUUGUACAUACCUGGUUUCUCAUUUCUCAGGAGUAACUAAAGGGAUGCAUUUGAUAAGUGUACUAUAUGUAUAUACACAUGUAUUAAAGUAUUCAAUCAGUCUCUACAUCUUCAAGCAUCAUUAUAUUGGCUUUUAUUGUUACCCCUACGCAUUUAUUAUAAGAUGCUUGAGUACAACAUUGAAGGUAAGUUUACUUUUUGGUACAAAAAUAUUAUAUAAAUAGUAUUUAAAUAAAGGGUAAAAAGGUCAUUUUGGUUUUUGAUGGGUAUUCUAGUAAUUUAAUCUUACACUUUGGGCUUCACAUUUACAAUAUAGUAUAUAUAUGAAGAUUUACAUAACUGUAAAAGGAAUAUAAAACCUCUCUAUAACAACAAUGUUUAUUCACAUAUUUAUAGGCUUUUAUAGUAAAUGACUGAAAUACACCUAUAGCAACAUUUGACGUUUAAAUAUUUCUGGUUGUUAUAGACAAAUAUUAUUAAAAAUAUAAUCUUUUUUCAUUUUUUAAUGUUACAUAUAAUAGAUAAGAAAUUAUUCAAAUCUAAAAUCUCAAAAGAUGUGCAUACU